GAUGAACGCUGGCGGCGUGCUUAACACAUGCAAGUCGAACGAAGCACUUAUCUUUGAUUCUUCGGAUGAAGAGAUUUGUGACUGAGUGGCGGACGGGUGAGUAACGCGUGGGUAACCUGCCUCAUACAGGGGGAUAACAGUUAGAAAUGACUGCUAAUACCGCAUAAGACCACAGAGCCGCAUGGCUCGGUGGGAAAAACUCCGGUGGUAUGAGAUGGACCCGCGUCUGAUUAGGUAGUUGGUGGGGUAACGGCCUACCAAGCCAACGAUCAGUAGCCGACCUGAGAGGGUGACCGGCCACAUUGGGACUGAGACACGGCCCAAACUCCUACGGGAGGCAGCAGUGGGGAAUAUUGCACAAUGGGGGAAACCCUGAUGCAGCGACGCCGCGUGAGCGAAGAAGUAUUUCGGUAUGUAAAGCUCUAUCAGCAGGGAAGAAAAUGACGGUACCUGACUAAGAAGCACCG
rnacentral:rRNA from 1 species